CAGCAGCCGCGGUAAUACGAGGGGGGCAAGCGUUGUUCGGAAUUAUUGGGCGUAAAGGGUGCGUAGGCGGUUUGGCAAGUUUGGUGUGAAAUCUUCGGGCUCAACUCGAAGUCUGCAUCGAAAACUGCCGGGCUUGAGUAUGGGAGAGGUGAGUGGAAUUUCCGGUGUAGCGGUGAAAUGCGUAGAUAUCGGAAGGAACACCUGUGGCGAAAGCGGCUCACUGGACCAUAACUGACGCUGAUGCACGAAAGCUAGGGGAGCAAACAGGAUUAGAUACCCCAGUAGUCCCUGUCUCUUAUAC
rnacentral:rRNA from 1 species